AAAUGAAUAGACGGGGGCCCGCACAAGCAGCGGAGCAUGUUGUUUAAUUCGAAGCAACGCGAAGAACCUUACCAGGUCUUGACAUCCAGUUAAAGCCAUAGAGAUAUGGUGUCCCUUCGGGGGAACUGAGACAGGUGGUGCAUGGUUGUCGUCAGCUCGUGUCGUGAGAUGUUGGGUUAAGUCCCGCAACGAGCGCAACCCUUAUGGUCAGUUACUAACGCGAGAAGGCGAGGACUCUGACAAGACUGCCGGGGACAACUCGGAGGAAGGUGGGGACGACGUCAAAUCAUCAUGCCCCUUAUGACCUGGGCUACAAACGUGCUACAAUGGUGACAACAAAGAGGAGCGAGACCGUAAGGUGGAGCGGAUCUCAAAAAAGUCAUCCCAGUUCGGAUUGUGGGCUGCAACCCGCCCACAUGAAGUUGGAGUUGCUAGUAAUCGCGGAUCAGCAUGCCGCGGUGAAUACGUUCCCGGGCCUUGUACACACCGCCCGU
rnacentral:rRNA from 1 species